rnacentral:rRNA from 1 species
GAGUUUGAUUAUGGCUCAGGAUGAACGCUAGCGGGAGGCCUAACACAUGCAAGCCGAGCGGGAUUUGUUGGUUAGCUUGCUAACUAAUAAUGAGAGCGGCGUACGGGUGCGUAACACGUGUGCAACCUGCCUUUAUCUGGGGGAUAGCCUUUCGAAAGGAAGAUUAAUACCCCAUAAUAUAUUAAUUGGCAUCAAUUGAUAUUGAAAGCUCCGGCGGAUAGAGAUGGGCACGCGUAAGAUCAGCUAGUUGGUGAGGUAACGGCUCACCNUGGCUGCGAUCUUUAGGGGGCCUGAGAGGGUGAUCCCCCACACUGGUACUGAGACACGGACCAGACUCCUACGGGAGGCAGCAGUGAGGAAUAUUGGACAAUGGGUGAGAGCCUGAUCCAGCCAUCCCGCGUGAAGGACUAAGGACCUAUGGUUUGUAAACUUCUUUUAUACAGGGAUAAACCUACUCUCGUGAGGGUAGCUGAAGGUACUGUAUGAAUAAGCACCGCA